AGUCGAGCGGGGGAGGUUACUUCGGUAACUGACCUAGCGGCGGACGGGUGAAUAAUGCUUAGGAAUCUGCCUAUUAGUGGGGGACAACAUUCCGAAAGGAAUGCUAAUACCGCAUACGUCCUACGGGGGAAAGCAGGGGAUCUUCGGACCUUGCGCUAAUAGAUGAGCCUAAGUCGGAUUAGCUAGUUGGUGGGGUAAAGGCCUACCAAGGCGACGAUCUGUAGCGGGUCUGAGGGGAUGAUCCGCCACACUGGGACUGAGACACGGCCCAGACUCCUACGGGAGGCAGCAGUGGGGAAUAUUGGACAAUGGGCGGAAGCCUGAUCCAGCCAUGCCGCGUGUGUGAAGAAGGCCUUUUGGUUGUAAAGCACUUUAAGCGAGGAGGAGGCUCCUUUAGUUAAUACCUAAAGUGAGUGGACGUUACUCGCAGAAUAAGCACCGGCUAACUCUGUGCCAGCAGCCGCGGUAAUACAGAGGGUGCGAGCGUUAAUCGGAUUUACUGGGCGUAAAGCGUGCGUAGGCGGCUUUUUAAGUCGGAUGUGAAAUCCCUGAGCUUAACUUAGGAAUUGCAUUCGAUACUGGAAAGCUAGAGUAUGGGAGAGGAUGGUAGAAUUCCAGGUGUAGCGGUGAAAUGCGUAGAGAUCUGGAGGAAUACCGAUGGCGAAGGCAGCCAUCUGGCCUAAUACUGACGCUGAGGUACGAAAGCAUGGGGAGCAAACAGGAUUAGAUACCCUGGUAGUCCAUGCCGUAAACGAUGUCUACUAGCCGUUGGGGCCUUUGAGGCUUUAGUGGCGCAGCUAACGCGAUAAGUANACCGCCUGGGGAGUACGGUCGCAAGACUAAAACUCAAAUGAAUUGACGGGGGCCCGCACAAGCGGUGGAGCAUGUGGUUUAAUUCGAUGCAACGCGAANAACCUUACCUGGNCCUUGACAUACUAAGAACUUUCCANANAU
rnacentral:rRNA from 1 species